CCUACGGGUGGCAGCAGUGAGGAAUAUUGGUCAAUGGACGAGAGUCUGAACCAGCCAAGUAGCGUGAAGGAUGACUGCCCUAUGGGUUGUAAACUUCUUUUAUAUGGGAAUAAAAUGUUCCACGUGUGGGAUUUUGUAUGUACCAUAUGAAUAAGGAUCGGCUAACUCCGUGCCAGCAGCCGCGGUAAUACGGAGGAUCCGAGCGUUAUCCGGAUUUAUUGGGUUUAAAGGGAGCGUAGGUGGAUUGUUAAGUCAGUUGUGAAAGUUUGCGGCUCAACCGUAAAAUUGCAGUUGAAACUGGCAGUCUUGAGUACAGUAGAGGUGGGCGGAAUUCGUGGUGUAGCGGUGAAAGGCUUAGAUAUCACGAAGAACUCCGAUUGCGAAGGCAGCUCACUGGACUGCAACUGACACUGAGGCUCGAAAGUGUGGGUAUCAAACAGGAUUAGAGACCCUAGUAGUC
rnacentral:rRNA from 1 species